rnacentral:rRNA from 1 species
UUUGAUCCUGGCUCAGAGCGAACGCUGGCGGCAGGCCUAACACAUGCAAGUCGAACGGAUCCUUCGGGAUUAGUGGCGGACGGGUGAGUAACACGUGGGAACGUGCCCUUUGGUUCGGAACAACUCAGGGAAACUUGAGCUAAUACCGGAUGUGCCCUUCGGGGGAAAGAUUUAUCGCCAUUGGAGCGGCCCGCGUCUGAUUAGCUAGUUGGUGAGGUAAAGGCUCACCAAGGCGACGAUCAGUAGCUGGUCUGAGAGGAUGAUCAGCCACAUUGGGACUGAGACACGGCCCAUACUCCUACGGGAGGCAGCAGUGGGGAAUCUUGCGCAAUGGGCGAAAGCCUGACGCAGCCAUGCCGCGUGAAUGAUGAAGGUCUUAGGAUUGUAAAAUUCUUUCACCGGGGACGAUAAUGACGGUACCCGGAGAAGAAGCCCCGGCUAACUUCGUGCCAGCAGCCGCGGUAAUACGAAGGGGGCUAGCGUUGCUCGGAAUUACUGGGCGUAAAGGGAGCGUAGGCGGACUGUUAAGUUAGAGGUGAAAGCCCAGGGCUCAACCUUGGAAUUGCCUUUGAUACUGGCAGUCUUGAGUACGGAAGAGGUAUGUGGAACUCCGAGUGUAGAGGUGAAAUUCGUAGAUAUUCGGAAGAACACCAGUGGCGAAGGCGACAUACUGGUCCGUUACUGACGCUGAGGCUCGAAAGCGUGGGGAGCAAACAGGAUUAGAUACCCUGGUAGUCCACGCCGUAAACGAUGAGUGCUAGUUGUCGGCAUGCAUGCAUGUCGGUGACGCAGCUAACGCA